rnacentral:rRNA from 1 species
GUCGAACGAGAACGGGUUAUAGCUUGCUAUAAUUGUCAGCUAAGUGGCGCACGGGUGAGUAAUGUAUAGGUAAUAUGCCUUUUACUAAGGGAUAACAGAUGGAAACGUUUGCUAAUACCUUAUACUCCGUUUAUGUAUAAAUGUAAAUGGGAAAGAUUUAUCGGUAAGAGAUUGGCCUGUAUUGUAUCAGUUAGUUGGUGGGGUAAUGGCCUACCAAGACAAUGACGCAUAACUGGUUUGAGAGGAUGAUCAGUCACACUGGAACUGAGACACGGUCCAGACUCCUACGGGAGGCAGCAGUGGGGAAUAUUGCACAAUGGACGGAAGUCUGAUGCAGCAACGCCGCGUGGAGGAUGACACAUUUCGGUGCGUAAACUCCUUUUAUAUAAGAAGAUAAUGAUGGUAAUAUAUGAAUAAGCACCGGCUAACUCCGUGCCAGCAGCCGCGGUAAUACGGGGGGUGCAAGCGUUACUCGGAAUCACUGGGCGUAAAGAGCAUGUAGGCGGAUUGAUAAGUUUGAAGUGAAAUCCUAUAGCUUAACUAUAGAACUGCUUUGAAAACUGUUAAUCUAGAAUGUGGGAGAGGUAGAUGGAAUUUCUGGUGUAGGGGUAAAAUCCGUAGAGAUCAGAAGGAAUACCGAUUGCGAAGGCGAUCUACUAGAACACUAUUGACGCUGAGAUGCGAAAGCGUGGGGAGCAAACAGGAU